GAUGAAGAACGCAGCGAAAUGCGAUAAGUAAUGUGAAUUGCAGAAUUCCGUGAAUCAUCGAAUCUUUGAACGCACAUUGCGCCCCCUGGCAUUCCGGGGGGCAUGCCUGUCCGAGCGUCAUUUCUGCCCUCAAGCACGGCUUGUGUGUUGGGUGUGGUCCCCCCGGGGACCUGCCCGAAAGGCAGCGGCGACGUCCGUCUGGUCCUCGAGCGUAUGGGGCUCUGUCACUCGCUCGGGAAGGACCUGCGGGGGUUGGUCACCACUAUAUUUUUCCACGGUUGACCUCGGAUCAGGUAGGAGUUACCCGCUGAACUUAAGCAUAUCAAUAAGCGGAGGA
rnacentral:misc_RNA from 1 species